CCCCCCCCAAAAGACUCUCCAAGCUUUACACCGCUAAAGACCAAACAGCCUCUUUCUGAGCACCCAAGUGAUGGCAAAAAAGAGAGAAACAUACGUAGGCGAUUACUUAUGGAUAGAGCUUCAACUGAUGCAAAUUUAGACAAGCAUGAUGAUUCUCUUGAUGAUAACCUGGAAGAUUCUUUGGGUGAUGCUACUGCUAGGUCUCUCACUGGUUCCGAUGGUGAUGGUGGUUCCGAUGCUGAUGCUGGCGCUGAUUCAGCCUAGGCAGUCUUACUUGUUUUCCUAAAGAAAAAAAACAAACAUCAGGUGCCGGUUGUUCUUUUUUGGUGUUAAUAUCACUAGCGCAAGACCAUCCAGCUCAGAAAUAUAGCCUGUUGGCAUCCUGGUUGUAAAUAUGAAGUUAAUGGCCAGCACCAUCAUUUUGAUGUAAACAUGGCUCUAACCUGAAAACUGUUCACCCUUAGCCUUUGUAUAUAUAACUACUGUAACCAUUAGGAUCCUGGUUACGUAGCCUGCUGUUUCUAUAAUAUGAUUCACUGUCACUUUGCUACACUUUGCAU